UUGAAAAGAUGAAAGACCGAGAAGCCUUGUUUAAUGAAUUUGUGGCUGCUGCUAGGAAGAAAGAGAAAGAAGAUUCGAAGACCAGAGGUGAGAAGAUUAAAUCGGAUUUCUUUGAACUAUUAUCUAAUCAUCACUUGGACAGUCAGUCUCGCUGGAGUAAAG